GACGUAGGGGGCGAGCGUUGUCCGGAUUCAUUGGGCGUAAAGAGCGCGUAGGCGGCCCGGAAAGUGGGGUGUGAAAACCCGAGGCUCAACCUCGGGCGUGCAUUCCAAACUCCCGGGCUCGAGGCAGGUAGGGGAGAUCGGAAUUCCGUGGUGUAGCGGUGGAAUGCGCAGAUAUCGAGGAGGAACACCGAUGGCGAAGGCAG
rnacentral:rRNA from 1 species